rnacentral:rRNA from 1 species
UGAGUAUUUGAAUGGCUGCGGUAAUUUGACCGUGCAAAGGUAGCAUAAUNNUUNNUUUUUUAAUUGAAAGCUGGAAUGAAGGGUUGAAUGAAAAAAUAACUGUCUCUAUUUAAAUUAUUUAAAAUUUUAUUUUUAAGUAAAAAAGCUUAAAUGAGGAUAGAAGACGAGAAGACCCUAUAGAGUUUCAUUUAUUUUAAUAAAAAAAUUUUUUUUAGGGUAAAAAAUAAUUUUUUAUUACAAUGAAUUUAAUUGGGGUGAUUUAAAAAUUAAAUUAACUUUUUUUUUAUUUUUACAUUUAUUUAUGAAUAAAUGAUCCUUAUUUAAAGAUUAAAAGAAAGAAUUACCUUAGGGAUAACAGCGUAAUCUUUUUAGAGAGUUCAAAUCGAAAAAAAGGGUUGCGACCUCGAUGUUGGAUUAAAAUUUAACUUUGGUGUAGAAGCUAGAGAGUUAGGUCUGUUCGACCUUUANAAUUUUACUUGAUCUGA